GGAUAAUCCGGAGAAAUCCGGUCUAAUACCGCAUAAUAUCGUGAAUCUGCAUGGAUUUGCGAUUAAAGGAGCGAUCCGGUGACGGAUGGGCAUGCGUGACAUUAGCUAGUCGGCGGGGUAACGGCCCACCGAGGCGACGAUGUCUAGGGGUUCUGAGAGGAAGGUCCCCCACACUGGUACUGAGACACGGACCAGACUCCUACGGGAGGCAGCAGUGAGGAAUAUUGGUCAAUGGGCUUACGCCUGAACCAGCCAAGUCGCGUGAGGGAAGACUGCCCUAUGGGUUGUAAACCUCUUUUGUCAGGGAGCAACGCCGGCUACGUGUAGCGGACUGAGAGUACCUGAAGAAAAAGCAUCGGCUAACUCCGUGCCAGCAGCCGCGGUAAUACGGAGGAUGCGAGCGUUAUCCGGAUUUAUUGGGUUUAAAGGGUGCGUAGGCGGAAUGCCAAGUCAGCGGUAAAAUCGCGGGGCUCAACCUCGCUCCGCCGUUGAAACUGGCGUUCUUGAGUGGGCGAGAAGUAUGCGGAAUGCGUGGUGUAGCGGUGAAAUGCAUAGAUAUCACGCAGAACUCCGAUUGCGAAGGCAGCAUACCGGCGCCCAACUGACGCUGAAGCACGAAAGCGUGGGUAUCGAACAGGAUUAGAUACCCUGGUAGUCCACGCAGUAAACGAUGAAUAAUAGCUGUUCGGGGCAAAUGAGCCUUGAGUGGCACAG
rnacentral:rRNA from 1 species